UGAUAUGGCAGGAGAUCUCAAUUACAGCAAAUGUAGCCCAAAAGGAAAUUGAUAAGUACAUCAAGAUACCUGGAGAAGCCCUUCAGCUAAGUCGACCUAUCAACAACAGUUCUAUAUCGGUCCAAAUGCUGAGGUUUUGCAGUCUCCUCCAGCUAAAUACAUCUGCUUAGACUAGAAUGAGAUUUUUGGGAACUGUUUUUGCAAAGUGAAAUUAUUUCACCACUGCUAAGGACAAAUGGGAAACUUAAUUUGGUUCACACAGCACAAAUCUCUUCUUAGCAAAGAAGGGGACAACCUGUUCCCCAAUUGCUCUUGGACAAGAGUAUUGGUUGCCCGUUCUUACU